UGCAAUCGGCAAGAAUGAUUACAGCGAGAAAGCGGCGAGAUCGUCGAGGAAGCGGGCGGCCAAUAGGCUGGGUUCAAGAGAUUGUGGAUGUUUGCCGGAUCGAAGUCUGAGACAUGGUAUUCGUAGUUUUGGGAUGCUGUGGAUUUAAGAUAGAUGUUAAGGACCUGACUUCUACGUUGGCUGAUGAUCAAGGGGAAUGCUCCAUUGCAGUUCAUAGAAAGGCUGGUUAAUCAGCAUGCGUUCAAGCCUUUUGUGAGGAAGCAGAGCAACGGCCUACAUCAGGCAAGCAUAUUCCUUGGGUGAGAAUAGAUUGUCUUAUAUAAGAUUAUUAUUUUCUUAAAUGCCCCUUUCUUAUGACCAGUGUGAACAAGAAUUCAAUGAACUCGAUAUAGCAUCGCCAUGCUAUCUAAAGCUCUUAAAUAUAUUAAACCCCGCUGGGUCCUUUUGGAAGGGGUUGUUUGUACAAAGAAUGCACUUGGCAGGAUAGAGAAUGCAAGGGGAGUGAAAUGAAAAAAAACUUGGUAAAUGAUCGUAGUUUAUAUAUGUAUUUUUUUUUUUCAAGAAUUCAGAAGCUAUAAUCCACUUGGACGUCGCCCGUUUUAGACAUAGAA